rnacentral:rRNA from 1 species
GAUGAACGCUGGCGGCGUGCUUAACACAUGCAAGUCGAACGAGAAGUGGAGACGGAAACCUUCGGGCGGAAGACUUUAUUUCGAGUGGCGGACGGGUGAGUAACGCGUGGGUAACCUGCCUCAUACAGGGGGAUAACAGUUGGAAACGACUGUUAAUACCGCAUAAGACACAGCAACGCAUGGUGCGGGGGUAAAAACUCCGUUGGUAUGAGAUGGACCCGCGUUCGAUUAGCCAGUUGGCGGGGUAACGGCCCACCAAAGCGACGAUCGAUAGCCGAUCUGAGAGGAUGACCGGCCACAUUGGGACUGAGACACGGCCCAAAAUCCUACGGGAGGCAGCAGUGGGGAAUAGUGCACAAUGGGGGAAACCCUGAUGCAGCGACGCCGCGUGAGUGAAGAAGUAUUUCGGUAUGUAAAGCUCUAUCAGCAGGGAAGAAAAUGACGGUACCUGAGUAAGAAGCCCCGGCUAACUACGUG